AGGAUUAUAUUUAAAUAUAAUAUUUAGUUUGCAAUUAAAAGGUACCAAAAAGGUUAAUCUUU
rnacentral:tRNA from 1 species